rnacentral:rRNA from 1 species
UCCGCAGGCGGGCAAUUAAGUCAGAGGUGAAAUCCCACAGCUCAACUGUGGAACUGCCUUUGAUACUGGUUGUCUUGAGUUAUAGUGAAGUAGAUAGAAUAUGUAGUGUAGCGGUGAAAUGCAUAGAUAUUACAUAGAAUACCGAUUGCGAAGGCAGUCUACUAACUAUAUACUGACGCUGAUGGAUGAAAGCGUGGGGAGCGAACAGGAUUAGAUACCCUGGUAGUCC